AAUUGAGUAAUAGUUAUAGUCUUAAAAGUUAAAAAAUUUGGCGGUAUUUUAAUCUAUUCAGAGGAACCUGUCCUGUAAUUGAUAAUCCACGAUUAAAGUUACUUAUUUUAAAAAUUUGUAUAUCGUUGUAGUUGAAUAUUUUAAUAGAAUUUAAAUAUUCUAAAUUUUUAUUAUAAAAAAUAAAUCAGAUCAAGGUGCAGUUUAUAAAUAAGAAGUGAUGGGUUACAAUAAUUUUGGUUUUGGAUUUAAUUUUUAAAAAGUUAAUGAAAUUGGAUUUGAAAGUAAUUUAGUUAAUAUUAGUUAAAUGWUU
rnacentral:rRNA from 1 species